UACAGAGGGUGCGAGCGUUAAUCGGAAUUACUGGGCGUAAAGGGCGCGUAGGCGGUUAUGUGAGUGUGAUGUGAAAGCCCUGGGCUUAACCUAGGAAGUGCAUCGCAAACGACAUAACUGGAGUAUAAGAGAGGGUGGCGGAAUUUCCGGUGUAGCGGUGAAAUGCGUAGAGAUCGGAAGGAAUGUCAAUGGCGAAGGCAGCCACCUGGCUUAAUACUGACGCUGAAGCGCGAAAGCGUGGGGAGCGAACAGG
rnacentral:rRNA from 1 species